GACGAACGCUGGCGGCGUGCUUAACACAUGCAAGUCGAACGGAAAGGCCCCUUCGGGGGUACUCGAGUGGCGAACGGGUGAGUAACACGUGAGUAACCUGCCCUUGACUUCGGGAUAACUUCAGGAAACUGGGGCUAAUACCGGAUAGGAAUCCUUGCUGCAUGGUGGGGGUUGGAAAGCUUCGGCGGUUUUGGAUGGACUCGCGGCUUAUCAGCUUGUUGGUGGGGUAGUGGCUUACCAAGGCUUUGACGGGUAGCCGGCCUGAGAGGGCGACCGGCCACAUUGGGACUGAGAUACGGCCCAGACUCCUACGGGAGGCAGCAGUGGGGAAUACUGCACAAUGGGCGGAAGCCUGAUGCAGCAACGCCGCGUGCGGGAUGACGGCCUUCGGGUUGUAAACCGCUUUCAGCAGGGGCGAAGCUUGUGGUGACGGUACCUGCAGAAGAAGCACCGGCUAACUACGUG
rnacentral:rRNA from 1 species